rnacentral:rRNA from 1 species
AAUUCUUGGCAAUGCAAGGAAAACCUGACAGAGGCAAUACCGCGGGAUGGAAUUAGUAAGCCCAAAGGGUUGUAAACCUCUUUUUUAAGGAAGAAGUUCUGACGUUAUUUAACGAAUAAGCAUCGGCUAACUCCGUGCCAGCAGCCGCGGUAUUACGGAGGAUGCAAGUGUUAUCCGGAAUCACUGGGCGUAAAGCUUCUGUAGGUGGUUUAUUAAGUUUAGGUUAAAUUCUAAGCUCAACUUCAAAACUGUACUAGAAAAUAAUAAACUCGAGGAUAGUAAGGGUAAAGGGAAUUUCCAGUGGAGCGGUGAAAUUGUAGAGAGAGGAAGGACCCGGAAGGCGAAGGCACUUUUCUGGGCUAUUUCUGACACUAAGAGACGAAAGCUAGGGGAGCAAAUGGGAUUAGAUACCCCAGUAGUCCUAGCCGUA